GACGAACGCUGGCGGCGUGCUUAACACAUGCAAGUCGAACGAUGAACCCGGAGCUUGCUCUGGGGGAUUAGUGGCGAACGGGUGAGUAACACGUGAGUAACCUGCCCUGGACUCUGGGAUAAGCGUUGGAAACGACGUCUAAUACCGGAUAGGACCUUGGAUCGCAUGAUCUGGGGUGGAAAGUUUUUUCGGUCUGGGAUGGACUCGCGGCCUAUCAGCUUGUUGGUGAGGUAAUGGCUCACCAAGGCGUCGACGGGUAGCCGGCCUGAGAGGGUGACCGGCCACACUGGGACUGAGACACGGCCCAGACUCCUACGGGAGGCAGCAGUGGGGAAGAUUGCACAAUGGGCGAAAGCCUGAUGCAGCAACGCCGCGUGCGGGAGGACGGCCUUCGGGUUGUAAACCGCUUUUAGUAGGGAAGAAGGGCUUCGGCUUGACGGUACCUGCAGAAAAAGGACCGGCUAACUACGUG
rnacentral:rRNA from 1 species